rnacentral:rRNA from 1 species
AUUGAACGCUGGCGGCAUGCCUUACACAUGCAAGUCGAACGGCAGCGGGGGAGAAGCUUGCUUUUCCUGCCGGCGAGUGGCGAACGGGUGAGUAAUACAUCGGAACGUGCCCUGUAGUGGGGGAUAACUAGUCGAAAGAUUAGCUAAUACCGCAUACGACCUGAGGGUGAAAGUGGGGGACCGCAAGGCCUCAUGCUAUAGGAGCGGCCGAUGUCUGAUUAGCUAGUUGGUGGGGUAAAGGCCUACCAAGGCGACGAUCAGUAGCUGGUCUGAGAUGACGAUCAGCCACACUGGGACUGGGACACGGCCCAGACUCCGACGGGAGGCAGCAGUGGGGAAUUUUGGACAAUGGGCGAAAGCCUGAUCCAGCAAUGCCGCGUGUGUGAAGAAGGCCUUCGGGUUGUAAAGCACUUUUGUCCGGAAAGAAAUGGCUCUGGUUAAUACCUGGGGUCGAUGACGGUACCGGAAGAAUAAGGACCGGCUAACUACGUGCCAGCCGCCGCGGUAAAAC